rnacentral:rRNA from 1 species
GGCUCAGGAUGAACGCUAGCGGCAGGCCUAAUACAUGCAAGUCGAGCGGCAAGUCGAGGAGUAAUCUAAGACCUAGAGCGGCGCACGGGUGCGUAACGCGUAUGCAACUACUUUAUACUGGGGGAUAGCCCGGAGAAAUCUGGAUUAAUACCCCAUGGCACAUAUUGAUGGCAUCUGAGAUAUGUUAAAGAUUUAUUGGUAUAAGAUGGGCAUGCGUCUGAUUAGCUAGUUGGCGGUGUAACGGACCACCAAGGCGACGAUCAGUAUCUGGUUUGAGAGGACGAUCAGACACACUGGAACUGAGACACGGUCCAGACUCCUACGGGAGGCAGCAGUGGGGAAUUUUCCGCAAUGGGCGAAAGCCUGACGGAGCAAUACCGCGUGAGGGAAGAAUGCCUAUGGGUUGUAAACCUCUUUUUCAGGGAGGAAUAAAAUGACGUGUACCUGAAGAAUAAGCAUCGGCUAACUCCGUG